UACGUAGGGACCGAGCGUUGUCCGGAAUCAUUGGGCGUAAAGAGCGUGUAGGCGGCCACUUAAGUCCUGCGUGAAAUCUUGCGGCUCAACCGCAAGCGGUCGUGGGAAACUGGGUGGCUAGAGUGCGGGAGAGGAGAGUGGAAUUCCUGGUGUAGCGGUGGAAUGCGCAGAUAUCAGGAGGAACACCGGUGGCGAAGGCGGGUCUCUGGGCCGAUAUUGACGCUGAGGAGCGAAAGCGUGGGGAGCGAACAGG
rnacentral:rRNA from 1 species